UGAACGGUGGGCGGCGUGCCCUAUACAUGCAAGUCGAACGAACUCUGGUAUUGAUUGGUGCUUGCAUCAUGAUUUACAUUUGAGUGAGUGGCGAACUGGUGAGUAACACGUGGGAAACCUGCCCAGAAGCGGGGGAUAACACCUGGAAACAGAUGCUAAUACCGCAUAACAACUUGGACCGCAUGGUCCGAGUUUGAAAGAUGGCUUCGGCUAUCACUUUUGGAUGGUCCCGCGGCGUAUUAGCUAGAUGGUGGGGUAACGGCUCACCAUGGCAAUGAUACGUAGCCGACCUGAGAGGGUAAUCGGCCACAUUGGGACUGAGACACGGCCCAAACUCCUACGGGAGGCAGCAGUAGGGAAUCUUCCACAAUGGACGAAAGUCUGAUGGAGCAACGCCGCGUGAGUGAAGAAGGGUUUCGGCUCGUAAAACUCUGUUGUUAAAGAAGAACAUAUCUGAGAGUAACUGUUCAGGUAUUGACGGUAUUUAACCAGAAAGCCACGGCUAACUACGUGCCAGCAGCCGCGGUAAUACGUAGGUGGCAAGCGUUGUCCGGAUUUAUUGGGCGUAAAGCGAGCGCAGGCGGUUUUUUAAGUCUGAUGUGAAAGCCUUCGGCUCAACCGAAGAAGUGCAUCGGAAACUGGGAAACUUGAGUGCAGAAGAGGACAGUGGAACUCCAUGUGUAGCGGUGAAAUGCGUAGAUAUAUGGAAGAACACCAGUGGCGAAGGCGGCUGUCUGGUCUGUAACUGACGCUGAGGCUCGAAAGUAUGGGUAGCAAACAGGAUUAGAUACCCUGGUAGUCCAUACCGUAAACGAUGAAUGCUAAGUGUUGGAGGGUUUCCGCCCUUCAGUGCUGCAGCUAACGCAUUAAGCAUUCCGCCUGGGGAGUACGGCCGCAAGGCUGAAACUCAAAGGAAUUGACGGGGGCCCGCACAAGCGGUGGAGCAUGUGGUUUAAUUCGAAGCUACGCGAAGAACCUUACCAGGUCUUGACAUACUAUGCAAAUCUAAGAGAUUAGACGUUCCCUUCGGGGACAUGGAUACAGGUGGUGCAUGGUUGUCGUCAGCUCGUGUCGUGAGAUGUUGGGUUAAGUCCCGCAACGAGCGCAACCCUUAUUAUCAGUUGCCAGCAUUAAGUUGGGCACUCUGGUGAGACUGCCGGUGACAAACCGGAGGAAGGUGGGGAUGACGUCAAAUCAUCAUGCCCCUUAUGACCUGGGCUACACACGUGCUACAAUGGAUGGUACAACGAGUUGCGAACUCGCGAGAGUAAGCUAAUCUCUUAAAGCCAUUCUCAGUUCGGAUUGUAGGCUGCAACUCGCCUACAUGAAGUCGGAAUCGCUAGUAAUCGCGGAUCAGCAUGCCGCGGUGAAUACGUUCCCGGGCCUUGUACACACCGCCCGUCACACCAUGAGAGUUUGUAACACCCAAAGUCGGUGGGGUAACCUUUUAGGAACCAGCCGCCUAAGGUGACAGAAGUUG
rnacentral:rRNA from 1 species